GAUGAACGCUGGCGGCGUGCCUAAUACAUGCAAGUCGAGCGAACAGGCGAGGAGCUUGCUCCUCUGACGUUAGCGGCGGACGGGUGAGUAACACGUGGAUAACCUACCUAUAAGACUGGGGUAACUUCGGGAAACCGGAGCUAAUACCGGAUAAUAUAUUGAACCGCAUGGUUCAAUAGUGAAAGACGGUUUUGCUGUCACUUAUAGAUGGAUCCGCGCCGCAUUAGCUAGUUGGUAAGGUAACGGCUUACCAAGGCAACGAUGCGUAGCCGACCUGAGAGGGUGAUCGGCCACACUGGAACUGAGACACGGUCCAGACUCCUACGGGAGGCAGCAGUAGGGAAUCUUCCGCAAUGGGCGAAAGCCUGACGGAGCAACGCCGCGUGAGUGAUGAAGGUCUUCGGAUCGUAAAACUCUGUUAUUAGGGAAGAACAAAUGUGUAAGUAACUAUGCACGUCUUGACGGUACCUAAUCAGAAAGCCACGGCUAACUACGUG
rnacentral:rRNA from 1 species